ensembl:processed_transcript Gm16758 predicted gene, 16758
AUUAAAAAUAUUAAUUAUAAAUCCCUCCCUCUCCAAGCCCACUCCCACCGGGAUGUUUCUCCUCUGACCCUCCUGGGCAAACAUAACCUGUUAAGGAGGAGUGGAAAGCACAAGGUGUUGCCUGGUAGAUGGGGAGGGGCGCCAUCAGCCUGACUCUUCUCAGUUUGCUUAUGGUUCAUCCAGGCUACCCGCCCUUGUUCCUGGCUCCUUUGUUUCUUUCCUACUCUUACUAGGGGUGGGAGUCCAAUGCUCAGUUAAGGGUGUCCAAACUCAACUCAGCAGAUGCCAACUAGAGAUUUAUUGAAUGAAUGAAUGAAUGAAUGAUGUCCAUCGUGGGCCAGAUCCCCCAGUCCAAAGCUACCUUCCACGUGCUCAGCCUUCCGUUAACUCGAAGGGAAAUGCAUGAUAUGAUCCACAGACGUCCAAUGUCUUCCCACCUACCUCUCCCACUCAGUCUGAAAGGGAAGUGGUAUCAGAUGAGGGGGUGAUGUAUUCCAGGCCUGCUGCCUGGGACUGAACCUCAGAAUUGACAGUGGCAGCCAACCUCAGAGAAUGCAGAGGACCACCAGGCUUGUGGUCCAGCCCUAAGCUGUCUGGGCCUCACUGUCACCCAGAUAUCAAGCAGAGAUGCUAAGGAUCCUAAGUAGCCAGGCUGAACAGCUUUGUGCCUUCCUCCUAAGGUUCCCAAGCUGCAGAGCCUGCAAGGGAAGCAAGGAAGAGUGCAAGUUCGAAGAGACUCGGCCUGGCCCCAAUGGUGCCAUCGCCUCCUGGAGAAGUAGAUUGCGUCUGAAAAUCAUACGGUGGCAGAUGUGAAUAAUGAGGCUACUCCCUGACUGGCUUGCCACUGGGCCAUGGUCAUACCCUGCCUCACUGUGUGACCUUCCUGUCUCUGGGCUCCAGAAUAGUCUGCUAGAUAUCAACAUUGGUGGGCUACCUCCUGAAAUUCCUCACAUCGUCAGACUCCAAGGCCUGUGAGCUGUGACUGAGGCAGGACAUGUACAACACACCAUUUCUCAUCUGAGAGUCGCAACUUGCACUGUCCCAACCUCCCNNNNNNNNNNNNNNNNNNNNNNNNNNNNNNNNNNNNUUAAUCCCAGCACAUGGGAGGCAGAGGCAGGCAGAUUUCUGAGUUCAAGGCCAGCCUGGUAUAUGAGUGAGUUCCAGGACAGCCAGGGCUACACAGAGAAACCCUGACUCAACAACAACAACAACAACAAAGUAGAUGGUCUCAUUCUCUGAGCAGGCAUAAGGGACAGCGGAAUACGAGACCCCAUGUCUCUACUGAAUGGGUGAGGGAAGACAAGAGGCAGGAGAAUUUCAUAAUUUAUUUACUCAAGUCUUUUACAUAGCAUUGUCUUAGACAUCCCAUUGUGUAGAAGGUGCCAGUGAGUGAAGACCUGGCCGGUCACCAGAGAGUACCAGUCUAAGGGAAGUAAAGUUUGUCCACAGGGAGCCCCAUCUGAGGGGACACAGACUGUCCACAGGGAGCCCCAUCUGAGGGGACACAGACUGUCCACAGGGAGCCCCAUUUGAGGGGACACAGACUGUCCACAGGGAGGGAAGAGGCACAACCCUGGACCUGGGCUCCAGCCUAAGAGGGGAGACCGUUUCCCACCCUGGUGAAGAAAUAGAUGAAAACACAGACUUAGAAAUGGACCAUAACCUAAAGAGGAAAGGCCUGGCCUGGUGAAUAACUCUGUUCUCUUACUGGAAGAUAACUUCUUGCCCCUUCUGCCUGGCUGCCUGCAGCUCCUCUGUUUUACCACCCCAGGGAAGCAGCCUGGUGUAUCAUUUGGGUACACUCUCUCUCAAUGCAAAUGUCUCUCUGGGCUCCUGGGGACUGGGCCUGCUUGAUGGCCAGUGUCUGACACUGGCAGCUGGCAACAGGCACAGGGAGGAGAAUCUGCUCUCUUUGCAGUACCAGACUCCAUUCAGGCAAGAAGCCUGUCCCCACCCACUCCGAUAGCCUUCCAGCGAAGCCAUCUCAGACCGUAGGACUGCCUGGCAUCUGCAGAUCUGCUACUUUCUGGAACCCCAGCUGCCACUUGGUCUUGGAUGUCACCCAUGUCCCAGGCCUAGAAUAGUCAUCAAUGUCUUGAGCUGAAGUAUAUAGACAUUUCUAUGUGUCCUGGUCACGUGAGGCUGCUCACAGCGCCCAGAGCAGGGCAGAAUACACAGCAGUCACCUGUAUACUUGUGAGCCAAGCCAACCACAGCAACCAACAAAAAUCGGCUUUGGACGAGGCCUGAAUCACCCAGUUGAAGUUUGGAUUAGGGGCUAAUGCAAAUGCCCGUCUUUUAAGAAGAUGUGUCUGAGUCUUAUGCAGCCUGGUGAAGCUGAUUCUUGGAGAAAGGAAUCAACUAGAUGAGGGGCAGGCGUCCAUCGGAAGCUCUGGGAUAUGCAGGUUGCAGAGACGGUAGGCGCCCCCAUUGCUUCCUGCUUUUGGGAUGUGGCUGGGCAAGAAGAGGUCAGGCCAGGCAUCUCUUCCUGCAUGAGCAGACUGAGAGGGGGUGUCUGUCCUCUGGCUUCUGGGGCCCCAGUGGAAGUAUCCUGUUCCGCUGAGCUAGCUUUUCUCAGCCUCCCAGCAGGCUCUGCCAGAAGCAGGAUCAAAUGUUCCCCAACUUAAAGAGAUGUCCCAGAAAGGGGACUGGUGAUACUGGGGUCACAGUCUGGGGGCUCAAGGACAGGCCCUGAGUUUCCCUUGCCUCUUUCUGUUUAACCUUCUACCUAACUGUCUUCUUUCUGUCCCCAGUCAUCCCUCCCUUGGAGACUGAACCCCAGGCUCACACUAGGCAAGCACUCGCCUACUAAGCUAUACCCAGGCUCUUUCCUCUUACAAAGUGGUCCAAGCUAGCCUUGAACUAUCUCUGUAGCCCAGGCAGACCAUGACUCAUUUGUGAUCUGAGAAUGAUGGGUUUGGGGGACAUGGAAAUUUGCAGCAGAUAUGGAGGGGCAGCUUGCAUGGCAUUUCCUGCAGGGGGCGCCAUUCACACAGAUUCCACAGGACCAGAGCGGUCCCUAGCCCCACCAAGCAUUGAAAGUAUGGGGCCACUCCCUCUGCUUUGGUGUGACCUAGGCCAGCAUCACCCUAGCCAGAGCCUCAUCACCCGCUUCUCUCUACAAUACAAUUCAACCCUAGGGACACGUGGGCCUGUGCCCCUCCCCCUCCGGUCCCCCUGGCCUGUCUCCUGCCUGACUCCACAGGAUGUGCUGGGUCUGCUAGUGUCCAGGGAGGGUUGGAAAUGCUGGAGUCCCCUGCCACAGGCCAAGCAGUUCAGAAAGCUCAGAGCCCAGGGGACUUACUGUUCUUUUAAUUAACUAGUCUCAUUGUUUGGCUCCGGUUCUUACAGGGAAUCCCCCAGUGCCUACCAGAGGGGAUAUGGAACAUUAAGAUUCAGGCAUGGCUGCAGGGAUGGAAGGGACCAACAGCUCAGCCCUUUGAAGAUAAUCCAGCCUGUUUAUUGCAUACUCUUUCUCUACCCCUACUUAAGGGCUUUCUGGGGCACCAGUGGGUUAAAAUGCCGCAGCCCAGACUAAAAACCACUUGCCUUCAUAGACCCCCCUCCAUCAUCUCUUUGGAGGCUGCAGGGUACUAAAGAAUAGAGAGGCUUAGCCACAGCCUUAAUACAACACAGCUAGUUACCAUGUAGCAACACUGGCAGCCAAGCCAGAGACUGACUAUUGAAAGCCUUUUGUUUCAGUGAAGUUUGUUCUUUUUUUAAAAGAUGUAUUUGUUUUUGUGUUAUGUGUGUGUAAAUAAAUGUACUACAUGCACACUUGGUGCCGUA